rnacentral:rRNA from 1 species
CGAGCGCAACCCUUGUCCUUAGUUACCAGCACGUUAUGGUGGGCACUCUAAGGAGACUGCCGGUGACAAACCGGAGGAAGGUGGGGAUGACGUCAAGUCAUCAUGGCCCUUACGGCCUGGGCUACACACGUGCUACAAUAGUCGGUACAAAGGGUUGCCAAGCCGCGAGGUGGAGCUAAUCCCAUAAAACCGAUCGUAGUCCGGAUCGCAGUCUGCAACUCGACUGCGUGAAGUCGGAAUCGCUAGUAAUCGUGAAUCAGAAUGUCACGGUGAAUACGUUCCCGGGCCUU